UACGUAGGGGGCAAGCGUUGUCCGGAUUUAUUGGGCGUAAAGAGCGUGUAGGCGGCCAAGCAGGUCCGCUGUGAAAACUCGAGGCUCAACCUCGAGACGUCGGUGGAAACCGUUUGGCUAGAGUCCGGAAGAGGAGAGUGGAAUUCCCGGUGUAGCGGUGAAAUGCGCAGAUAUCGGGAAGAACACCAACGGCGAAGGCAGCUCGCUGGGACGGUACUGACGCUGAGACGCGAAAGCGUGGGGAGCCGAACAGG
rnacentral:rRNA from 1 species